AAUGCCGGAUGCUCCAGUUGAUCGCAUGGUCUUCUGGGAAAGCUUUCGCGGUAUGGGAUGGGGUCGCGUCCUAUCAGCUUGACGGCGGGGUAACGGCCCACCGUGGCUUCGACGGGUAGCCGGCCUGAGAGGGCGACCGGCCACAUUGGGACUGAGAUACGGCCCAGACUCCUACGGGAGGCAGCAGUGGGGAAUAUUGCACAAUGGGCGCAAGCCUGAUGCAGCGACGCCGCGUGAGGGAUGGAGGCCUUCGGGUUGUAAACCUCUUUUAUCGGGGAGCAAGCGUGAGUGAGUUUACCCGUUGAAUAAGCACCGGCUAACUACGUGCCAGCAGCCGCGGUAAUACGUAGGGUGCAAGCGUUAUCCGGAAUUAUUGGGCGUAAAGGGCUCGUAGGCGGUUCGUCGCGUCCGGUGUGAAAGUCCAUCGCUUAACGGUGGAUCCGCGCCGGGUACGGGCGGGCUUGAGUGCGGUAGGGGAGACUGGAAUUCCCGGUGUAACGGUGGAAUGUGUAGAUAUC
rnacentral:rRNA from 1 species